rnacentral:lncRNA from 1 species
UUAGUUACCAACAUCUCGUUUGAACCUUUGAAGCAAAGAGUGAAGAGUUGAGGCUAGAAAAAUACUAGUCUCAGACUCUGAUGUUUCCAGCUCAUAGUUUAUAGCAUCAGUGAACUGGAGCCAUAAGCAAAAUUUCUCAGCUCUGCCUCACGCAGCUUAUGCUGACGGCUGAUUUCUUGAGCCAUUACUCAGUAUAAAACACUGAGCCCUAUCUUUAGGGUUUAUCCUUUAAGAGCAAACUUGUGGGCAUCUGUGCUUCUGCAACCUAAACUAUUUGAAGGGAAGUCUAUAUAGAUGGAAGAAAGAAUGAUAAAUUGGACCAAGGUGAAACAAAUAUAACUAUAUAAUCUGUUCAGAACUGUAGACCUUGUCUGGUGUUAGUUUUAUAGAAAUGGUGCCACUUUUGAUUGACACUUGCCACAAAAAUAGAAAAUAAAAAUUAUAAACUGAGAUCUUAAAGAGGACUUGGAGAAAGUACAUCCUGAUUCAUGCUCUAAGAGAAUUCCAAGAGGCCCUCUAAAAAUCAGAGAGUUAUUCCCAGGCCACGCACCUGCUUGCCAAUAUCUCUGCAUGGUCAAAUGAGCUUCAUGCUCACAAGCUUUAAGUAUAUAACUAUCCAGGAUUUUAAGUCCUCAACGUGUUCUAGCUUGUGAUCCUUCAAAGAUGGGUUAUGUGUUAAUGAUAGGUACUAGAAAUGUUUACUUCUCUCUUUCCACUGAUCAGAGAAACAGGCAUUAAAGACAGAAUGCAAGAACGGAAAGCUUUUACCCUGCACCUUCCUUGCAGGGAACAAUUAUCUUGCCAAAACGUCUUUCCCUUUCAUCUCCCAUUUCUCUGUACCCAGUCCCUUCCUGCUCCUUGCCAAUGUGAUCAUGCUUUCUUCUCUAUAAAUGCUAACAUUUGAAGACCCCUUUCCUAGGGCACUUAACCAUCCAGUCAGACCAUCACAUUCAGUAGGGACUUGUCUUGGCUAACAGCAGUGUAUCCAUCUGGUCAGCUCUACUGAGGGAAGGGGCCAAGUUACUGCUGCCCUCUAAUCUGCCCUCUGGUCCUAUAUCUAUUACUGUGUCCAUAGGAAUAAUAGGUAAGGGCUAGUCUCUGUCAAGCCAUGUAACAAAGGACACUGCAAAAUGUCUGGCAUCAGAGGGGACAUUUGGAGACCAACUUGGGAGGAAAAUAUUCAUUUUGUAUUGAAUGAUUUUUAAUGAAUGCAAUAUUAAUCCUUGCAGAUGAGCAAUAAUCAUUAAAAUCAGUUAAAAAUG